UGGGGAAUAUUGCGCAAUGGGGGGAACCCUGACGCAGCAACGCCGCGUGAGUGAAGAAGGCCUUCGGGUCGUAAAGCUCUGUCGAGAGGGAAGAAGUCUUUGAGGCGAAUAGCUUUAGAGGUGACGGUACCUUAUGAGGAAGCCCCGGCUAACUACGUGCCAGCAGCCGCGGUAAAACGUAGGGGGCGAGCGUUGUCCGGAAUUACUGGGCGUAAAGGGCGUGUAGGCGGCUAGGUAAGUCAGGUGUGAAAACUUUGGGCUCAACCGGGAGAUUGCACCUGAAACUGCGUAGCUUGAGGGUAGGAGAGGGAAGUGGAAUUCCUAGUGUAGCGGUGAAAUGCGUAGAUAUUAGGAGGAACACCAGUGGCGAAGGCGACUUUCUGGCCUAACCCUGACGCUGAGGCGCGAAAGCGUGGGGAGCAAACAGG
rnacentral:rRNA from 1 species